rnacentral:rRNA from 1 species
GAUGAACGCUAGCUACAGGCUUAACACAUGCAAGUCGAGGGGCAGCAUGAUUGAAGCUUGCUUCAAUCGAUGGCGACCGGCGCACGGGUGAGUAGCACGUAUCCAACCUGCCGAUAACUCGGGGAUAGCCUUUCGAAAGAAAGAUUAAUACCCGAUAGUAUAGUAUUUCCGCAUGGUUUCACUAUUAAAGAACUUCGGUUAUCGAUGGGGAUGCGUUCCAUUAGAUAGUUGGCGGGGUAACGGCCCACCAAGUCAACGAUGGAUAGGGGUUCUGAGAGGAAGGUCCCCCACAUUGGAACUGAGACACGGUCCAAACUCCUACGGGAGGCAGCAGUGAGGAAUAUUGGUCAAUGGACGAGAGUCUGAACCAGCCAAGUAGCGUGAAGGAUGACUGCCCUAUGGGUUGUAAACUUCUUUUAUACGGGAAUAAAGUGGAGUAUGCAUACUCCUUUGUAUGUACCGUAUGAAUAAGGAUCGGCUAACUCCGUG